rnacentral:tRNA from 1 species
GGAAAUUUAGCUCAAAUUGGACUGAGAAAUCACUAUUUUGUGAUUAAUGAUGGGUUCAAAUCCCAUAAUUUCCA